AAGGAACGUUUCCACAACUUUCUCCCCUCCUCAUUCUCUUCUUCUCGAGGGAGGAGAAAUGACUUACUUGAAUGGAUAACAUCACAGGGAGCACCUCCAGGCUUCAGCCCGCCAGUGACCAGGGGGCCAAAUUGUUAAAUUCAGAAGAUCAAGCCCAUUUGGUUGUCUAGUCCACAUCAUCCAAUCCAGGUCAAAGUCCAGAUGGAUAUGAGGGUGGCCUUGCAGCUUCCUUGAGGGAAAGCAGCCCAGAAUUCCCUGCCUCCACCCCCUUGUGAAAAUACCAAAUAUUUGGAAGACUGAGCAUUCUAUGGAACACACCCUGAGAUUUUCUGCUGUGCUUAGUUCCUGGAUCUCAGGCUUAAACUGGGGCAAAAGGGUGACCUGAUUACCAUUA